rnacentral:rRNA from 1 species
UGUGCCAGCAGCCGCGGUAAUACGUAGGGUCCAAGCGUUAAUCGGAAUUACUGGGCGUAAAGCGUGCGCAGGCGGUUGUGCAAGACCGAUGUGAAAUCCCCGAGCUUAACUUGGGAAUUGCAUUGGUGACUGCACGGCUAGAGUGUGUCAGAGGGGGGUAGAAUUCCACGUGUAGCAGUGAAAUGCGUAGAGAUGUGGAGGAAUACCGAUGGCGAAGGCAGCCCCCUGGGAUAACACUGACGCUCAUGCACGAAAGCGUGGGGAGCAAACAGGAUUAGAU